rnacentral:rRNA from 1 species
AGCGAACGCUGGCGGCAGGCCUAACACAUGCAAGUCGAACGAAGUCUUCGGACUUAGUGGCGGACGGGUGAGCAACACGUGGGAACGUGCCUUUAGGUUCGGAAUAACUCAGGGAAACUUGUGCUAAUACCGAAUGUGCCCUUCGGGGGAAAGAUUUAUCGCCUUUAGAGCGGCCCGCGUCUGAUUAGCUAGUUGGUGAGGUAAAGGCUCACCAAGGCUACGAUCAGUAGCUGGUCUGAGAGGAUGACCAGCCACAUUGGGACUGAGACACGGCCCAAACUCCUACGGGAGGCAGCAGUGGGGAAUCUUGCGCAAUGGGCGAAAGCCUGACGCAGCCAUGCCGCGUGGAUGAUGAAGGUCUUAGGAUUGUAAAAUCCUUUCACCGGUGAAGAUAAUGACUGUAGCCGGAGAAGAAGCCCCGGCUAACUUCGCGCCAGCCGCCGCUGUAACAC